rnacentral:rRNA from 1 species
ACGGGGCGCAGCAGGCGCGAAAACUUUACAAUGCGGGAAACCGCGAUAAGGGGAUACCGAGUGCCAGCAUAUUAUGUUGGCUGUCCACAUGUGUAAACGGCAUGUGUUAGCAAGGGCCGGGCAAGACCGGUGCCAGCCGCCGCGGUAACACCGGCGGCCCGAGUGGCAAUCAUUUUUAUUGGGUCUAAAGGGUCCGUAGCCGGUUUGAUCAGUUCUUCGGGAAAUCUGACAGCUCAACUGUUAGGCUUCCGGGGAAUACUGUCAGACUUGGGACCGGGAGAGAUAAGAGGUACUACAGGGGUAGGAGUGAAAUCUUGUAAUCCCUGUGGGACCACCAGUGGCGAAGGCGUCUUACCAGAACGGGUCCGACGGUGAGGGACGAAAGCUGGGGGCACGAACCGGAUUAGAUACCCGGGUAGUCCCAGCCGUAAACGAUGUUCGCUAGGUGUCAGGGACGGUGCGACCGUUUCUGGUGCCGUAGGGAAGCCGUGAAGCGAACC